rnacentral:rRNA from 1 species
UACGGGGGGGGCAAGCGUUGUUCGGAAUUACUGGGCGUAAAGGGCGCGUAGGCGGCCAACUAAGUCAGACGUGAAAUCCCUAGGCUCAACCUAGGAACUGCGUCUGAUACUGGAUGGCUUGAAUCCGGGAGAGGGAUGCAGAAUUCCAGGUGUAGCGGUGAAAUGCGUAGAUAUCUGGAGGAAUACCGGUGGCGAAGGCGGCAUCCUGGACCGGCAUUGACGCUGAGGAGCGAAAGCCAGGGGAGCAAACGGG